UGGGGAAUAUUGCACAAUGGGCGCAAGCCUGAUGCAGCAACGCCGCGUGAGGGACGACGGCCUUCGGGUUGUAAACCUCUUUUAGUAGGGAAGAAGCGAAAGUGACGGUACCUGCAGAAAAAGCACCGGCUAACUACGUGCCAGCAGCCGCGGUAAUACGUAGGGUGCGAGCGUUGUCCGGAAUUAUUGGGCGUAAAGAGCUCGUAGGCGGUCUGUCGCGUCUGCUGUGAAAACCCGAGGCUCAACCUCGGGCCUGCAGUGGGUACGGGCAGACUAGAGUGCGGUAGGGGAGAAUGGAAUUCCUGGUGUAGCGGUGGAAUGCGCAGAUAUCAGGAGGAACACCGAUGGCGAAGGCAGUUCUCUGGGCCGUAACUGACGCUGAGGAGCGAAAGCGUGGGGAGCGAACAGGAUUAGAUACCCUGGGUAGUCCACGCCGUAAAACGUUGGGCGCUAGAUGUGGGGACCAUUCCACGGGUUUCCGUGUCGGCAGCUAACGCAUUAAGCG
rnacentral:rRNA from 1 species